UACGGAGGGUGCAAGCGUUAUCCGGAUUUACUGGGUUUAAAGGGUGUGUAGGCGGACUUUUAAGUCAGCGGUGAAAUCUCCGGGCUCAACCCGGAAACUGCCAUUGAUACUAUUGGUCUUGAAUGUUGUUGAGGUGGGCGGAACGGGUCAUGUAGCGGUGAAAUGCAUGGAUAUGACCCGGAACACCGAUUGCGAAGGCAGCCCACUAAGCAACGAUUGACGCUGAGGCACGAAAGCGUGGGGAUCAAACAGG
rnacentral:rRNA from 1 species